UGGGCGUCAGGGUGUGAGUGCGCAGAGCGCGCGGACACUGCAGAUCGCAUGGCACGUUUCCGUUUUUGACCACGGAUGUACUGGCAGGGAUGUAGAAACGUAAAGGAAAGGCCGGUUUUCACCGGCCUUUUUGCUU
rnacentral:sRNA from 1 species